UUAAAGCGAUUCAGCGGGUUACGAUUGACGGAGCGAAGCGACGUCAAAGCGUAUACAAAGUCGAGUCGGUUUAAGGAUACGUUCGUUGGGUAGGGGAGCGUUCUGUAAGCCUGUGAAGGUGGCCUGUGAGGGUUGCUGGAGGUAUCAGAAGUGCGAAUGCUGACAUAAGUAACGAUAAAGCGGGUGAAAAGCCCGCUCGCCGGAAGACCAAGGGUUCCUGUCCAACGUUAAUCGGGGCAGGGUGAGUCGACCCCUAAGGCGAGGCCGAAAGGCGUAGUCGAUGGGAAACAGGUUAAUAUUCCUGUACUUGGUGUUACUGCGAAGGGGGGACGGAGAAGGCUAUGUUGGCCGGGCGACGGUUGUCCCGGUUUAAGCGUGUAGGUGUGUGUUCCAGGUAAAUCCGGUUCACUUUAACACUGAGGCGUGACGACGAGGCACUACGGUGCUGAAGCAACAAAUGCCCUGCUUCCAGGAAAAGCCUCUAAGCAUCAGGUAACAUCAAAUCGUACCCCAAACCGACACAGGUGGUCAGGUAGAGAAUACCAAGGCGCUUGAGAGAACUCGGGUGAAGGAACUAGGCAAAAUGGUGCCGUAACUUCGGGAGAAGGCACGCUGACACGUAGGUGAAGUGAUUUACUCAUGGAGCUGAAGUCAGUCGAAGAUACCAGCUGGCUGCAACUGUUUAUUAAAAACACAGCACUGUGCAAACACGAAAGUGGACGUAUACGGUGUGACGCCUGCCCGGUGCCGGAAGGUUAAUUGAUGGGGUCAGCGCAAGCGAAGCUCCUGAUCGAAGCCCCGGUAAACGGCGGCCGUAACUAUAACGGUCCUAAGGUAGCGAAAUUCCUUGUCGGGUAAGUUCCGACCUGCACGAAUGGCGUAAUGAUGGCCAGGCUGUCUCCACCCGAGACUCAGUGAAAUUGAACUCGCUGUGAAGAUGCAGUGUACCCGCGGCAAGACGGAAAGACCCCGUGAACCUUUACUAUAGCUUGACACUGAACAUUGAGCCUUGAUGUGUAG
rnacentral:rRNA from 1 species